rnacentral:rRNA from 1 species
CACUCCUGCGGGAGGCAGCAGUGGGGAAUAUUGGACAAUGGGCGCAAGCCUGAUCCAGCCAUGCCGCGUGAGUGAUGAAGGCCCUAGGGUUGUAAAGCUCUUUCACCGGUGAAGAUAAUGACGGUAACCGGAGAAGAAGCCCCGGCUAACUUCGUGCCAGCAGCCGCGGUAAUACGAAGGGGGCUAGCGUUGUUCGGAUUUGCUGGGCGUAAAGCGCACGUAGGCGGACUAUUAAGUCAGGGGUGAAAUCCCGGGGCUCAACCCCGGAACUGCCUUUGAUACUGGUAGUCUUGAGUUCGAGAGAGGUGAGUGGAAUUCCGAGUGUAGAGGUGAAAUUCGUAGAUAGUCGGAGGAACACCAGUGGCGAAGGCGGCUCACUGGCUCGAUACUGACGCUGAGGUGCGAAAGCGUGGGGAGCAUACAGGAUUAGAUACCCCUGUAGUCCCAUGA